UACGAAGGGGGCAAGCGUUGUUCGGAAUUACUGGGCGUAAAGGGCGCGUAGGCGGCUUAUCAAGUCAGGCGUGAAAUUCCCGGGCUCAACCUGGGGGCUGCGCUUGAUACUGAUGAGCUUGAAUGCGGGAGAGGAUAGUGGAAUUCCCAGUGUAGAGGUGAAAUUCGUAGAUAUUGGGAAGAACACCGGUGGCGAAGGCGGCUAUCUGGCCCGUAAUUGACGCUGAGGCGCGAAAGCGUGGGGAGUAAACAGG
rnacentral:rRNA from 1 species